rnacentral:piRNA from 1 species
UAGCAAGGCUUCUAUCGUUUG